UUUGCUAAUUGAUUUUUCCUUAAGAACAAUCUGUUUCUUUUCCAGUUUAUUAUAGGAAACACUGGCAUUUGUCAUUUUUCCAAUAUUUGGAGCUUGCUGCCUUAAUAAAUGCACAUAUCAGAUGAUGCUCUCUCCCUGUCUGAUGGACGGAUGGUGUUGGGCAGAGGAAGGUCACAAUGAUGCUAAAUUUGUUGCUGAGCAAAGGAUCAAAGUGUAAAUGGAAUCCUGAAAGCUGGGAAAUGGAGAUGCUGUGUGCUGUGUGUCCUACAACAAAAGCAUCUGAAUUGGAAAAAUACGGAUCCAUCCCUACUGCCAGUAACAAGGGAGACAGCCCAGCCACAGCCCUCCUGGUGAAAUGCUCAUUCUGUCCAGCAGAGGGCAAUAGCAACUAGUGCACACCAGUCAACACAUUACGGUCUUUCCCGUUCUCCCUCCUAAAGAUGCAAUUAUAAGAUGCAGAAGAGUGAAAUAUCUAGAAGAGACCCAAAAAUCAGUUGCUACUAUA
rnacentral:lncRNA from 1 species